rnacentral:rRNA from 1 species
GACGAACGCUGGCGGCGUGCUUAACACAUGCAAGUCGAACGGUAAGGCCCUUCGGGGUACACGAGUGGCGAACGGGUGAGUAACCCGUGGGUGAUCUGCCCUACACUUCGGGAUAAGCCUGGGAAACUGGGUCUAAUACCGGAUAGGACUCCGGACUGCAUGGUCUGGGGUGGAAAGCUUUUGCGGUGUGGGAUGGGCCCGCGGCCUAACAGCUUGUUGGUGGGGUGAUGGCCUACCAAGGCGACGACGGGUAGCCGGCCUGAGAGGGUGACCGGCCACACGGGGACUGAGAUACGGCCCAGACUGCUACGGGAGGCAGCAGUGGAGAAUAUUGCACAAUGGGCGCAAGCCUGAUGCAGCGACGCCGCGUGAGGGAUGACGGCCUUCGGGUUGUAAACCUCUUUCAGCAUCGACGAAGCGAAAGUGACGGUAGGUGCAGAAGAAGGACCGGUCAACUACGUGCCAGCCGCCGCGGUAA